AAUAAUUCUUCUCAGCUUCUGGCCUUGGAUUGAAUCCACCGAUGCGAUAGCCUCUGGGUAGUUGCAUUACUAUUAACAGUCUUUCACAAUCCACAACCACGAACAACCAGAGGACUCCAGAUGAAAAUUUUCUCAUACAACGCAUCGAAAGAUGUUGCCAGUACAUGGUGGGAUGUGCUGUGAGGAGCAAAUCCAAAUUCAACUUAGGCCUAGUCCAAUAAUUGAUGUGCUAGCUUUUUUUGGUAUUGAUUGAACCAACAGUAUGUGCUUCGGUGGUCAUCUGCAUAUUGGGUUUUCUUGUCUCUAUAUAUCUAAAUUGGGUAGCGGUACAGACACUGAAGGGACAAAGGAAAGCACCAUUCUCCGACUGUCUAAAGACUUCUUUCUCAUUUGGCUGCUUCUCCCAGAAUUUAAAUGUUCAACUCAGCAUACAUGGAGGUGUAACCACUUAAGCGCAAGGUCGUAUCCAUUGAGGAAAUCAUGCAAGAAGAGGGUGAAAUCCACAUUUAAGGACAUCAUCACCAUGUGUCUAGAUCUUCCGCCGGCCAAUGACCUGGGCGGUCGGACCAGUGACCUGGUCACAAUAUCGUUUGGAUCAAUCUCUAACCCGCUAUCUUGCAGAAAAGCCGUUGACUCGGUUUAUGAGGUGGGCCUCACAGAAACAGCUUUUGAGCUAAGCUAUGUUUUGGGGAAAAAUCCACAGAGUGCAAAUCAUCUGUGAAUCAUUUUUUGGGCUGCCACUUCAGCCUCCUUGGAUAGCUUAUCCAAAUACCUCAAAGCUGCUGAACCAGCUUUGCUGAAUGUUCAGCUCAGCCCAUCCAAAUGGGCCUUAUAUUAUUUUACUCUAAAAAAUUGUUUUACGCAAUUGACAUCAUUGGUAUGGCCCUUAUAUUUUAUUUUAUUUUUAGAAAUUGUUUUAAUCUAUUGACAUCGUAGGUUGACUCCUUAGUCUCGUGGUUGAAUUAUUGACCAAUUAUCCGAAGAAAAAACGGACAAGUACGGAUACACACGAUGCAGAAUUCUGAAU